ACUUAAUCUACUAAUGCACGUAUUUGAGAAUUAUGCUUGCAUUUCUUACACAGUUAGUAUUAUUUCUUAGUUCAGAAUAAGGUAAUACACGCAAUCUUUUGUCUGAUCUUUUAGAAUACCUUGAACCGUUUAAAGUGUUUUACUUAAUAUAACUAAAAAUUGCACAUAAUAUAACCUAACUUAUUUUUUGGUUCCAAAGAGUUUUCUAAUUGCAAUAAAUAGCAAUUUUCCAUUUCUUAAAAAGGUCAGUAAGUGUUUCCAACAACUUCAACGAGGUUAUACCUAUGGGAUAAAUUGUUGCAGAGUGCUCUAUAAUCUAAGAUGAUAAGUGCUAAAAAUCAAAGGAAUUUCGCUCAAGGUAUGUAAUUGUUUUCCUUUUGUAAGUUUAGAUCCACUAAAAUACCUUUAUUUACUCCAUUAUUUAGGUAAUUGAUAUAAUUUACAUAUAUUAGUUAUAAAUUGAAUUGCAUCAGGCAAACUAACUAAAAACAUGCAGUUACAGCCUAUUGCGAGAUGUAUUUCCAGAAAUUUUUCAUAAACUCUUGCUAUCGUUCUGAUGGUUUGUCCAGUGAGCAUAAGUAUACUAUUGUUACCAAAUAAAAGUUUAUAUUGGUUUGUAUUGAUUACUUUCAUUUACUUGCAAAUUGUUGUUGUGAAUUUCUGUAGGUUCGUAUCUAUGAAUAACAGGUCAACAAGGAAUGACAUUUUCACGGGUGUAAAGGUACCAUGGAGUAGAUACCUGAGCAUUUCAGCAAAAAGACCAUAAUAUCUUCAUGUACUUCAUUUUGAGCUACCAGGAUGUCAAAAUUUAUGCCAGUAGAUAUACCCUCAUGGAUUGAGUAUUGUUAAACACAUUUUUCUCUCCCUUUUGUUUAAAUAUGCAGACUUUAUACAUAAUUGGUAUCUUUGAAUUUUGUUGGUGAAUAAUAGUUUGACAGAUUUAAGUAUACCAAUUUCAUAAAUUUGUUUUUAUUAUCAUACAAUGUUAAGUUGAUUGUGUUUGUAAUUUUGUAUA